GCUUCCAUGGUGGAAUUGGUAGACACGACAGACUCAAAAUCUGUUGUUGCAAAACAUACAGGUUCAAGUCCUGUUGGAAGCA
rnacentral:tRNA from 1 species